UGGGGAAUUUUGGACAAUGGGGGAAACCCUGAUCCAGCCAUCCCGCGUGUGCGAUGAAGGCCUUCGGGUUGUAAAGCACUUUUGGCAGGAAAGAAACGUCGCGGGUUAAUACCCCGCGAAACUGACGGUACCUGCAGAAUAAGCACCGGCUAACUACGUGCCAGCAGCCGCGGUAAUACGUAGGGUGCAAGCGUUAAUCGGAAUUACUGGGCGUAAAGCGUGCGCAGGCGGUUCGGAAAGAAAGAUGUGAAAUCCCAGAGCUUAACUUUGGAACUGCAUUUUUAACUACCGGGCUAGAGUGUGUCAGAGGGAGGUGGAACUCCGCGUGUAGCAGUGAAAUGCGUAGAUAUGCGGAGGAACACCGAUGGCGAAGGCAGCCUCCUGGGGAUAACACUGACGCUCAUGCACGAAAGCGUGGGGAGCAAACAGGAUUAGAUACCCUGGUAGUCCACGCCCUAAACGAUGUCAACUAGCUGUUGGGGGCCUUUCGGGCCUUGGUAGCGCAGCUAACGCGUGAAGUUGACCGCCUGGGGAGUACGGUCGCAAGAUUAAAACUUAAAUGAAUUGACGGGGGUCA
rnacentral:rRNA from 1 species